GACCUCAAAUCAGGUAGGAACACCCGCUGAACUUAAGCAUAUCAAUAAGCGGAGGAAAAGAAAAUAACAAUGAUUCCCCUAGUAACUGCGAGUGAAGAGGGACAAGCUCAAAUUUUAAAUCUAUCGGGUUUUACCUGAUCGAGUUGUAAUUUGAAGAAGCGUUUUCUGCGUAUUUGGUCAGCCUAAGUCCUAUUGAAUGAGGCAUCAUGGAGGGUGAUAAUCCCGUCCGGUUGAUCAUUUGCGUUUUACGAUACGCUUUCUAAGAGUCAAGUUGUUUGGGAUUGCAGCUUAAAAUGGGAGGUAAAUUUCUCCUAAGGCUAAAUAACGGCGAGAGACCGAUAGCGAACAAGUACCGUGAGGGAAAGAUGAAAAGAACUUUGAAAAGAGAGUUAAACAGUACGUGAAAUUGUUGAAAGGGAAACGAUUGAAGCCAGUCGUACCUUCGGGUAAUCAGCCUUUCGGGUGCGAUUCUGUGGAGUUUGAGGAGCUUUAACACCUUCAUGCUUUGCAUAUUCGUGCUCUUGGGUGUACUUGCCCGUGUGGUUGGUUAACAUCAAUUUCGGGCACCAUAAAAUGGCUGGAGGAAUGUAGCUUCGAUCUUGUAUUGAAGUGUUAUAGCCUUCGGUAGAUGUGGUGAUCGAGAUUGAGGAUUGCAACGGAUACCUUUCGGGGCUACCUGUCUGAUCUCUGAUCGUUGCUUUGGUGCUGAAAGCGUGCUUAUAGUUAUCAAAGUCGAUGGUCAAUAGGUUAGAACGGGUUAAAUUCGUUAAGGAUGUUGACGUAAUGGUUUUAAACGACCCGUCUUGAAACACGGACCA
rnacentral:rRNA from 1 species